UACGAAGGGUGCAAGCGUUACUCGGAAUUACUGGGCGUAAAGCGUGCGUAGGUGGUUUGUUAAGUCUGCUGUGAAAGCCCCGGGCUCAACCUGGGAAUUGCGAUGGAGACUGCAAGGCUUGAAUCUGGCAGAGGGGGGUAGAAUUCCACGUGUAGCAGUGAAAUGCGUAGAGAUCGGAAAGAACACCAACGGCGAAAGCACUCUGCUGGGCCGACACUGACACUGAGAGACGAAAGCUAGGGGAGCGAAUGGG
rnacentral:rRNA from 1 species